rnacentral:rRNA from 1 species
CCUACGGGAGGCAGCAGUGGGGAAUUUUGGACAAUGGGCGAAAGCCUGAUCCAGCAAUGCCGCGUGAGUGAAGAAGGCCUUCGGGUUGUAAAGCUCUUUUGUCAGGGAAGAAACGGUGAAAGCUAAUAUCUUUUGCUAAUGACGGUACCUGAAGAAUAAGCACCGGCUAACUACGUGCCAGCAGCCGCGGUAAUACGUAGGGUGCAAGCGUUAAUCGGAAUUACUGGGCGUAAAGCGUGCGCAGGCGGUUUUGUAAGUCUGAUGUGAAAUCCCCGGGCUCAACCUGGGAAUUGCAUUGGAGACUGCAAGGCUAGAAUCUGGCAGAGGGGGGUUAGAAUUCCACGUGUAGCAGUGAAAUGCGUAGAUAUGUGGAGGAACACCGAUGGCGAAGGCAGCCCCCUGGGUCAAGAUUGACGCUCAUGCACGAAAGCGUGGGGAGCAAACAGGAUUAGAUACCCUGGUAGUCCACGCCCUAAACGAUGUCUACUAGUUGUCGGGUCUUAAUUGACUUGGUAACGCAGCUAACGCGUGAAGUAGACCGCCUGGGGAGUCGGUCGCAAGNUUAAAACUCAAAUGAGUAGAGNGNGAGAGNGCGACGGACGACACGAGGGAGGAGG